GUGGGGAAUUUUCCGCAAUGGGCGAAAGCCUGACGGAGUGACGCCGCGUGUGGGACGAAGGCCUUCGGGUCGUAAACCACUGUCAGUGGGAAAGAUGGGUGUCGGUGUUAAUACCAUCGGCAUCUGACGGUACCUGCAGAGGAAGCCCCGGCCAACUCUGUGCCAGCAGCCGCGGUAAGACAGAGGGGGCAAGCGUUGCUCGGAAUUACUGGGCGUAAAGGGCGCGUAGGCGGGAUGGUAAGUCGGUCGUGAAAUCCCUCGGCUCAACCGAGGAACGUCGAUCGAUACUACCGUUCUUGAGGGUUGCAGAGGAGACUGGAAUUCCCGGUGUAGCGGUGAAAUGUGUAGAGAUCGGGAGGAACACCGGUGGCGAAGGCGGGUCUCUGGGCAAUUCCUGACGCUGAGGCGCGAAAGCGUGGGGAGCAAACGGGAUUAGAAACCCCGGUAGUCC
rnacentral:rRNA from 1 species